AGUGAACGCUGGCGGUAGGCCUAACACAUGCAAGUCGAACGGCAGCACAGUAAGAGCUUGCUCUUACGGGUGGCGAGUGGCGGACGGGUGAGGAAUACAUCGGAAUCUACUUUUUCGUGGGGGAUAACGUAGGGAAACUUACGCUAAUACCGCAUACGACCUACGGGUGAAAUCAGGGGAUCUUCGGACCUUGCGCGAUUGAAUGAGCCGAUGUCGGAUUAGCUAGUUGGCGGGGUAAAGGCCCACCAAGGCGACGAUCCGUAGCUGGUCUGAGAGGAUGAUCAGCCACACUGGAACUGAGACACGGUCCAGACUCCUACGGGAGGCAGCAGUGGGGAAUAUUGGACAAUGGGCGCAAGCCUGAUCCAGCCAUACCGCGUGGGUGAAGAAGGCCUUCGGGUUGUAAAGCCCUUUUGUUGGGAAAGAAAAGCAGCAGGUUAAUCCACCGCUGUUCUGACGGUACCCAAAGAAUAAGCAACGGCUAACUUCGUG
rnacentral:rRNA from 1 species